AGUGAACGCUGGCGGCAGGCCUAACACAUGCAAGUCGAGCGGCAGCGCGUCCGACCACCCUCGGGUGGUCGGAUGGCGGCGAGCGGCGGACGGGUGAGGAAUGCAUCGGAAUCUGCCUCGUUGUGGGGGAUAACGUAGGGAAACUUACGCUAAUACCGCAUACGACCUACGGGUGGAAAGUGGGGGACCUUCGGGCCUCACGCGAUGAGAUGAGCCGAUGCCGGAUUAGCUAGUUGGCGGGGUAAAGGGCCCACCAAGGCGACGAUCCGUAGCUGGUCUGAGAGGAUGAUCAGCCACACGUGGAACUGAGACGACGGUCCAGACUCC
rnacentral:rRNA from 1 species